rnacentral:rRNA from 1 species
GAUGAACGCUAGCGGCAGGCUUAAUACAUGCAAGUCGAGGGGCAGCACGAAUAGCAAUAUUUGGUGGCGACCGGCGCACGGGUGCGUAACACGUAUACAACCUACCUAUAACAGGGGGAUAGCCUUUCGAAAGAGAGAUUAAUACCCCGUAAUAAAUUGAGUGGCAUCACUUGAUUUUGAAAGCUACGGCGGUUAUAGAUGGGUAUGCGUCUGAUUAGCUAGUUGGUGAGGUAACGGCUCACCAAGGCGACGAUCAGUAGGGGAUCUGAGAGGACUAACCCCCANACUGGUACUGAGACACGGACCAGACUCCUACGGGAGCAGCAGUAAGGAAUAUUGGUCAAAUGGAGGCAACUCUGAACCAGCCAUGCCGCGUGCAGGAUGACGGCCCUAUGGGUUGUAAACUGCUUUUUGACCAGAGAAAACCUACUCACGUGUGAGUAGCUGAUAGUAUGGUAAGAAUAAGCAUCGGCUAACUUCGUGCCAGCAGG